UACGAAGGGUGCGAGCGUUGUCCGGAAUCACUGGGCGUAAAGGCGCGUAGGCGGCCUGAUAAGUAGGGGUGAAAUCCUGCGGCUUAACCGCAGGGCUGCCUUCUAAACUGUCAGGCUUGAGCACAGUAGAGGCAGGUGGAAUUCCCGGUGUAGCGGUGGAAUGCGUAGAGAUCGGGAAGAACAUCAGUGGCGAAGGCGGCCUGCUGGCUGUUGCUGACGCUGAGGCGCGACAGCGUGGGGAGCAAACGAGG
rnacentral:rRNA from 1 species